rnacentral:rRNA from 1 species
GAACGCUGGCGGCGUGCCUAAUACAUGCAAGUCGAGCGAACAGACGAGGAGCUUGCUCCUCUGACGUUAGCGGCGGACGGGUGAGUAACACGUGGAUAACCUACCUAUAAGACUGGGAUAACUUCGGGAAACCGGAGCUAAUACCGGAUAAUAUAUUGAACCGCAUGGUUCAAUAGUGAAAGACGGUUUUGCUGUCACUUAUAGAUGGAUCCGCGCCGCAUUAGCUAGUUGGUAAGGUAACGGCUUAUCAAGGCAACGAUGCGUAGCCGACCUGAGAGGGUGAUCGGCCACACUGGAACUGAGACACGGUCCAGACUCCUACGGGAGGCAGCAGUAGGGAAUCUUCCGCAAUGGGCGAAAGCCUGACGGAGCAACGCCGCGUGAGUGAUGAAGGUCUUCGGAUCGUAAAACUCUGUUAUUAGGGAAGAACAAAUGUGUAAGUAACUAUGCACGUCUUGACGGUACCUAAUCAGAAAGCCACGGCUAACUACGUG